rnacentral:rRNA from 1 species
GUGCCAGCCGCCGCGGUAAUACCGGCAGCCCAAGUGAUGGCCGAUAUUAUUGGGCCUAAAGCGUCCGUAGCCGGCCGAGCAAGUCCGUUGGGAAAUCCACCCGCUCAACGGGUGGGCGACCAGCGGAAACUGUUCGGCUUGGGACCGGAAGGCCCGAGGGGUACGUCCGGGGUAGGAGUGAAAUCCUGUAAUCCUGGACGGACCGCCGAUGGCGAAAGCACCUCGGGAGGACGGAUCCGACGGUGAGGGACGAAAGCUAGGGUCUCGAACCGGAUUAGAAACCCCAGUAGUCC